CUAUGAAUAGCUCAGCUGGUUAGAGCAUGGUGCUGAUAAUGCCAAGGUUGCAGGUUUGAUCCCUGUAUAUUCUUUCAUUGCAGG